UUUCCUUCAAGCUGGUGAUGGAGUCUUUGGCACGGACCAAUCCACUGUUGACCCCACUCUGGGGAAGAAUGGGAGAAGGCAGGCACUGGAAAAAAAUUUUAAGAUAAUCCACUUUCCAGAUAUAAGUGCUCACUAAGCACCAUGCCACACACACACACACACACACACACACACACACACACACACAUUUCCUUUUCAGUCCUCUAAGCCACACCUUUUGAGGCUUUUUGGCCCAAUCUGCAAGUGAGGAAAAUGAGGCUUAGAGAUACAAUCCCCCCUUGAAUUCCCAGGUACACAGCGCGUGAGACGGCCUUGUCAGAUUUUAAACCCAGAGCCUUUGUUUUAAACCAUGACACCACAUAGCCUCUGAUCAUCGCCACCUUAUAUCACCAGAAAAUGCUUUAGGACUCAUGCGAAGCAAACUGUGGCCCAAGAGGGACGCAGGUGGCAGGAUCCACUGUCUGCUCUUCCACAUUUUUAGACGACUUAGCGCGGCACACGACUGUCCAGGCAAAGACUACAUUUCCCAGGCUCCCUUGCAGCCACACUUGCGACUCUAUAGCUGAACCUCCAGAACACGGAGGCUGUAACGCACUUCAUUUGAAGAGCAAGCCUGCUACGCUUGUUGAGAUUAUUAUGUGAGAGAGAAAUAAAGUUACCUUGCCUAAGCCAGUUACUUUGGUGUCCUUCACAGUUGCUGGACUAGUACGCAAAGAGAAAAGGGAGAACAAAUUUCCUCUAUCGUAAGAAAAGGACAACAUCACGUUCCUUGCAUGAUUGCUCUGGAGAAGAGGUGUGAUGAGAAAUAUCGUAUUGGGGCACCUGGGUGACUCAGUCGGUUGUGUCUGACUCUUGAUUUCGGCUCAGGUCAUGGCCCCAGGGGUGUGAUUUCGGCUCAGGUCAUGGCCCCAGGAGCCUUCAUCAGGCUCCACAUUCAGCGCGGAACCUGUCCAAGAUUCUCUGUCUUUCUCUCUCUCCCUCUGCCCCUCUCCCCUGAUCUCUCUCUCUCUCUCUCUCUCUCUCUCUCAAAAUAAAAAAAGAAAAGAAAAAAGAAAUAUUGUAUUAAGGUGACAUAAGCAAAAUGAUGGAUGUCCAAAAUUCCACCCCUCCAUAAAAACAAUGAAAAAAACUGCCCAAACCUGUAAGAGUCAAGUCCUUGAGAAGGUGUAACCAUUAUAAAUAUAUAUGCACCAAACAGAGCUUUAAAAUGCAUGAAAGAAGGGACGCCUGGGUGACUCAGUCGGUUAAGCGUCUGACUUCGGCUCAGGUCAGGAUCUCAUGGUUCAUGAGUUUGAGCCCUGCGUUGGGUUCUGUGCUUGACAGCUCAGAGCCUGGAGUCUGCCUCGGAUUCUGUGUCUCCCUCUCUCUCUCUGCCCCUCCUCCGUUUGUUCUCUCUCUCUCUCUCUCUCAAUAAAACAUUAAAAAGAGUUUAAACUGUGUGAAACAAAACCUGACAGAAUUGAAGGGAGAAAUUGACAAUUCAACAGCAAUGGUUGGGGACUUCAGCCUCAGUAUCACACUUUGAGUAAGGACAGCACAACCGGAGAGAAAUCAACAAGGAGACAGAAGACCGGAAAACCACUAUAAACCAGCCAGACCUAACAGACGUCUGACAGACAGCCCUCCACCCGGCAAGAGCAGAAUACACAUUCUUCUCAAGUGCCCAUGAGACAUUCUACCUCGGGUCCGGGAUGGACCCUGUAUUGAGUCAGAAAACAAGUCUCGAUAAAUGCAAAAGAAGCGAAUCAUACAAAGUAUGCUUUCUGACCUCAGUGACCUCAGGAGAAUGGAGAGUAGAAG